rnacentral:rRNA from 1 species
GACGAACCGUGCGAACGUUAUUCGGAAUCACUGGGCUUAAAGCGCGUGUAGGCGGCCCGGAGCAUCGUCGGCUGAAAUCCCCCGGCUCAACCGGGGAACGGGCCACGAGAUGUCCGGGCUGGAGGGGGGUAGGGGGAGCCGGAACUCACGGUGGAGCGGUGAAAUGCGUUGAGAUCGUGAGGAACGCCCGUGGCGAAAGCGGGCUCCUGGACCCCACCUGACGCUGAGACGCGAAAGCCAGGGGAGCGAACGGG